rnacentral:lncRNA from 10 species
GGACUACAGGCGCCCGCCACUAUGCCCGGCUAAUUUUUUGUAUUUUUAGUAGAGGCGGGGUUUCAUUAUGUUGGCAAGGCUGGUCUCAAUCACUUGACUUCGUGAUCCGCCUGCCUCGGCCUCCCAAAGUGCCAGGAUUACAGGUGCAAGCCACUAUGCCUGGCCGUAAACUGCUCAUUUCUUUGUGACAUUAUCCCCAUAAACUUUUUGUAGAGCAUCAGCAAUUAUACCAUUCUUCUACCCAAGCUUCACCAUACAUUUGAUGUUUGUUCUUACUUCAAUUUUAGCAUAAUUCAAGUUGCUUUAAUAGAGGCUCUUUUCAAACUGAUGUCUUAUUCUUCUCAGUGCCUUCAACUGGAUCCUGUUUAGACAUGUUAUAACAAGCUAGUAUACAUUUAUUUUUGUGCAAAAAGUUGAAAUUUAUGCAUAGUUUUUUUUAUAAUACAUAUUUCCAUAAACUUUUUGGAAACUCCUCAUUUCUGCAAUGGACAGAUUAUCAAUCAAUAUGAAUGAUUAAAAAUAUAAAGUAGGUGCAAUAUAAUAAACCUUUCAUGGCAUCCAAAACCAAGGCUGCUCUUCACAGAAAUACACAAAAAUUAAACCAUGAAGAAAUAUCAGUAAUUAUUCAAGGUAAAAAUCACAGUAAGACCUUGGAAAUACAAGGCCUAAGAUUUACUAUGAGGAAUAUAUAUAUUUCUUCUUGAAUGUAUCAGAAAAGAGCCAAAUGUAAAAAUUAAUUAACUGAGGAAUUAAAUAAUGUAAAAAAUACACUUCCUGAAAAAAUAACCAAAUAUAAUUUCUAAUGCAUAAAAUAUGUGUUAGUUAAAAAGAAAAAUAAGCAGGCACAAAAUUACAAAAUCCUAAUUCUUGUACUUUUUAUUUUUUUAUAAUUUUAAUUUUAAUUUUAGAUAUAGGGGUUAUACGUUCAGGUUUGUUUCACAGAUAUAUUGGGUGAUGCUAAGGUUUGGGAUAUGAAUAAUCUUGUCACCCAAAUAGUGAGCACAGUACCCAAUAGGUCAUUUUUUCAACACUUGCACCCCCCCUAGUAGUUUCCAAUGUCUAUUACUCCCAUCUUUAUGUUCAUAAAUAAUAAAUAUUUAUUUCCUACUUAUAGGUGAGAAUAUGUGGUAUUUGGGUUUCUGUUCCUUCAUCAAGUUGCUUAAGAUGAUGACCUUCAGCUCCAUCCAUGUUGCUGUAAAGGACAUGAAUUCAUUCGUUUUUACAGAGUGGGUGUACCAGUUCACAAUCCCAAUAGAAAUGAUGUAAGAAGCAGGACACAACUCCAGAGGUGGGGCUCAGACAUGGAACCAGAUUGAGGACAAGUUAACACAGGGCCUGGUAAGAAGCAGUUUUCUAAUUAGACAUGCCCACCAAUGUGCCAUGUCAAUUUAUCAUUCCAAUGGCAACACCCAGCUUUUACCGACUCUUUACAUGGCUAUGACCCAAUGACCCAAGUUACUACCCCUUCCCUAGAAAAUUCUGCAUAAACCACGCCUUAAUCUGCAUGCAAUUAAAAGUGGGUAUAAAUAUGACUGCAAAGCUGCCCUGAGCUACGGUGGUCUGCCUACUACUGGGUAGCCAUGCUCUGCAGGAGCAGUCAUGGAGCUGUAACUCCAUCAGACUGUAACACUGCCUCUUCAAUACAACUGUUUUCUUCUACAUCUGGCUUGCCUUUGAAUUCUUUCCUGGGCAAGGCCAAGAACCCUCACAGGCUAAACUCCACUUUGGGGCUAGUUUGCCCUGUAUGAGAAAUGUUUGAGUCCAGUUCCUCUACAUCCUAACUCACAUUUGACACUGGCAUUGAUUUUUUAUGUAUUUAUCGAUUUUGUUCUGUAUUGUUUUGCCACUUGGAUAGGUGUGUAUGCCUGGUUCAUUUUGAUUACUGUAUGUAUGGUUCAUUUUGGGUUUCUCCAGUGUCUGAUGAUGUUGAACAUCUUUGCAUGUGCUUACCUGCCACUGGGACAUCUUCUUCAAUGAAAUGUAUCUUGCUGUUUUUUGCUCAUGUCAUAAUUGGGUUUUCUUUUGAGAAUUCUUUACAUAUUGUAGAUACUAUCCAUUUGUCAAAUACAUGGCUAGCAAACAUUUUCUUCCCAUAUGUAGCUUUGUUUCACUCUUUAUAGAGUGAAAUAUUUAGAUUUCAAUGAAGUCCAAUUUGUCAUUUUUCCCUUAUGGUUCAUGCUUUUGAUGUAAACAAUAAGGAUUCUGUCCAUCAUAGAUUCCAAGUAUUUGUUCUAUAUUUUUAGCUACAAGUUUCACACUUUUACAUUUUACAUUUAAUCUGUGGCUUAUUAUGAGUUAAAUUUUGUAUAAAAUGUGAGAGGUUUGAAGGUUGAGUUCUUAUUUAUUUUUUACUUGCCUUUUUUUUUUAUCUGUAAGUGUUCAAUUGCUCGAGAACCGUUAUUUGAAAAUGUUAUCUUUUCUGCAAUGAAUUGCCUUUGGAACUUUGUCAAAAAUUAGUUAGGGGUAUGUUUGUGGAUUUAGUAUAUUUGGGCUUUUUGUUCUCUUCAAUUAAGCUAUGUAUCUAUACCUCCACCAAGACUAGACUAUAUUAUUACUAAUAGCUAUAUAGUACUUUACGUUGAGUGGGGUAAUUUUUUCUACUUUAUUUUCCAUUAUCAGGACUGGUGUGGCUAUUCUAGUGACUGUGACUUUCUGUGUAAAUUUCAAAAUAUUUUUGUCUUUUGUCUACAGAAAAAACCCCUUGCUGGGAUUUUGGUAGCACCUGCCUAAACCUAUAGAUCAACUUGGUAGAAUUAAUGUCUUUACUCUGCCAAGUCUUUCAAUCUAUUCACCCAAUAUAGCUCUUCAUUUAUUUAGCACUUUGAAAAUUUCUUUCAUCAUUAUUUUGCAUUUUUCAACUGACAUUUCCUGUAUAUGUUUUAUUAAGUUUAUAAUUAAGUAUAUGUUUUUUGGAGGAAGUAUACAUGUAUUUUUUAAAAUUUUAUUUCAAUAUGUUUAUUGUUAGUAUAUAGACAUGUGAUGAUUUUUGUUGGUUGUAUAUUUUGUCCUGUGUUCUUGGGUCUUGUGGCCUUGUUGUAAUCACUUAUUAGUUACAGCUGAUUUUUUUUUGUAACUUACUUAAGAUUUUCUACAUAAACAAUUAUGUCAUCUACAAAGAGAGACAACGUCUUUUCAAUCUACUUGCUCUUUGUUUCCUUCUCUUGACUUACAACAGUAGAAAGAACUACCAGUAGUUCAUUAAAUAAAGUUCAUAUGAGUGGACAUAUUUGUCUUGUUUCUAACCUUGAGGUAUAGGGAGGAUUCAGGGUUUUGCCAUUACAAAUAAUUUUAGAUGCAGUUUUUGGUUUCUGUUUUGCUCUGUUUUGUUUUGGGUAGGCA